UACGUAGGGCGCAAGCGUUGUCCGGAAUUAUUGGGCGUAAAGAGCUCGUAGGCGGCUUGUCACGUCGGGUGUGAAAGCCCGGGGCUUAACCCCGGGUCUGCAUUCGAUACGGGCUAGCUAGAGUGUGGUAGGGGAGAUCGGAAUUCCUGGUGUAGCGGUGAAAUGCGUAGAUAUCGAGAGGAACACCUGCGGCGAAGGCGGGUUGCUGGGCUGACACUGACGCUGAUGCGCGAAAGCCAGGGGAGCGAACGGG
rnacentral:rRNA from 1 species